rnacentral:rRNA from 1 species
ACAGGGAUUGCCCCAGUAACGGCGAGUGAAGCGGCAAGAGCUCAAAUUUGAAAUCUGGCCCCUCCGGGGUCCGAGUUGUAAUUUGCAGAGGAUGCUUCGGGUGCGGUCCCCGUCUAAGUGCCCUGGAACGGGCCGUCAUAGAGGGUGAGAAUCCCGUCUGGGACGGGCGGCCGUGCCCGUGUGAAGCUCCUUCGACGAGUCGAGUUGUUUGGGAAUGCAGCUCUAAAUGGGUGGUAAAUUCCAUCUAAAGCUAAAUAUUGGCCGGAGACCGAUAGCGCACAAGUAGAGUGAUCGAAAGAUGAAAAGCACUUUGAAAAGAGAGUUAAACAGCACGUGAAAUUGUUGAAAGGGAAGCGCUUGCGACCAGACUCGCCCGCGGGGGUUCAGCCGGUACUCGUACCGGUGUACUCCCCCGCGGUCGGACCAGCGUCGGUUUGGGCGGCCGGUCAAAGGCCCCCGGAAUGUGUCGCCUCUCGGGGCGUCUUAUAGCCGGGGGUGCAAUGCGGCCAGCCUGGACCGAGGAACGCGCUUCGGCACGGACGCUGGUGCAAUGGUCGUAAGCGGCCCGUCUUGAAACACGGACCAAGGAGUCUAACAUCUACGCGAGUGUUCGGGUGUCAAACCCGUACGCGCAGUGAAAGCGAACGGAGGUGGGAGCCCCCCGGGGUGCACCAUCGACCGAUCCUGAUGUCUUCGGAUGGAUUUGAGUAGGAGCGUAGCUGUUGGGACCCGAAAGAUGGUGAACUAUGCCUGAAUAGGGCGAAGCCAGAGGAAACUCUGGUGGAGGCUCGCAGCGGUUCUGACGUGCAAAUCGAUCGUCGAAUUUGGGUAUA